CGUCCGCCAUACCGAGAGCGAGGCGUAAAGAGGGGGAGCGGCGACAGCUUGUAUUGUUGUGCUACCGGAGAGUGUGUGUGGAGCCCGCCUGCGUCACACGGGUCAGGUUGAUGCAGUCCAUUGGUCUGUUCAUGGGCAGUGUGAUCUCCAGUUCUUCUCUCUCCACAAUGAAUCUGGCAUUCCCCUCCAGUUUGUGCACUGGGUGAGGCAGGUGCAGCAGGAGAGCCGAUAUGUCCCGGGCCCAUCCUCGCUAUGGGCUUCACUUGCUAAAAACAAACAAACAUAA